UACGUAGGGGGCGAGCGUUGUCCGGAUUUACUGGGCGUAAAGCGCGUGUAGGCGGCCCGUUAAGUGGGGUGUGAAAGCCCGGGGCUCAACCCCGGGACGCCGCUUCAAACUGGCGGGCUUGAGGACGGAAGAGGGGAGUGGAAUUCCUGGUGUAGCGGUGAAAUGCGUAGAUAUCAGGAGGAACACCAAUGGCGAAGGCAGCUCGCUGGGACGGUACUGACGCUGAGACGCGAAAGCGUGGGGAGCAAACAGG
rnacentral:rRNA from 1 species